UGUGAAUAUGGAAUCUUCUUAACUUUUGUGUCAGACGCAACGUCAUCUACUGGCAGAAGGACUGCAACAAAGAGCACCUGUGCAAGUACGCAUGGAUGAUGGUGCGGCCCACCGACCUCAUCAAAGUGCUGAAGGUCAAGGGGGACUGCAGCAAGAACGAGCUGUGAUGGCAUUACCUUAACUUACCUUACCUUACCUUACCUUACCUUACCUUACCUUAACGAACCUUAACAAACCUUGCCAUACCAUACCAUACCAUACCAUACCAUACCAUACCAUACCAUACCAUACCUUACUUAAAUUACCUUACCUUACCUUACCUUACCUUACCUUGUCUUAAGUCAAAAGUUAAGAAGAUUCCAUAUUCACAAACAGGCUUCUUAAGUUGUUUCUUAACUUUCUUCCUAAGAUUUUCCCUAUUUAGCACUAGGUGAGCAGGUAGGGCAGGUAAGGUAAGGUAAGGUAUAGUAUGGUAUGGUAUGCUAUUUUGUUCUUAAGAUUCUUUGUGAAUCCGGCCCCAGGUGAGACAGGGCAAGAAGAUAGGAGCAGAGAAGUGCAGAUUAGAUUAGAGUGCGAAGAGAAGAGAAGAGAAGAGAGGAGAAGAGAAGAGAAGAGAAGAGAAGAGAAGAGAAGAGAAGAGAAGAGAAGAGAAGAGAAGAGAAGAGAAGAGAAGAGAAGAGAAGAGAAGAAAAGAGGAGAGGAGAGGAGAGAAGAGAAGAGAGAAACACUGUUGAAUCGGGGUCUGUUCCCUUCUCUUUUCUUCUCUUUUCUUCUCUUCCUUUGUCACAUGGACCUAGAAUUCACUUGGUGUUCAUCUUGCCAUCACUCCAUAGUCAAACUUGGUGGGAAGUCUAAAAAAAAAAACCUGACAUUCUGUCACUGUGUGUGUGUGUGUGUGUGUGAGAGAGUGUGUGUGUGUGUGUGUGUGUGUGUGUGUGUGUGUGUGUGUGUGUGUGUGUGUGUGUGUGUGUGUGUGUGUGCGCUUGUGUGUGUGUGUGUGUGUGUGUGUGUGUGUGUGUGUGUGUGUGUGUGUGUGUGUGUGUGUGUGUGUGUGUGUGUGUGUGUGUGUGUGUGUGUGUGUGUGUGCUAAUGGUGCCAAGAUAUUCACCAAAUGUAAACCUGACUUUUUUACCAGCUGUAGUAAUCAGAUAAAUUUUGAUAGGGUUUACCCUAUGCCCACAUUGAGUUUGAGAUGGUCAAAGCAAUAUGACCACCAUGAUAAUUUGGUAAUUACCAGUCUUACUACCUACUUACCCCUGGAUGGGGACCCAGACAAGAUAGGAAUGAGAGAUGAGAUGAGAUGAGAUCAGACACACGUGCGUGAUUCAAUUAGGUUUAAAGAGCGGGAGCAGGACAGGGUUAGUGGUGUGUGUGUGUGUGUGUGUGUGUGUGUGUGUGUGUGUGUGUGUGUGUGUGUGUGUGUGUGUGUGUGUGUGUGUGUGUGUGUGUGUGUGUGUGUGUGUGUGUGUGUGUGUGUGUGUGUGUGUGUGUGUGUCUUUGAGUGGGUGAGUGUGUGUAGGGGCUCUGAACUUGGCUUGAUCAAUAGUGUGGAGAGGGAAUGAACACUGAUGGCCCAUCUAAAAGCUCCUCACACACACACACACACACACACACACACACACACACACACACACACACACACACACACACACACACACACACACACACACACACACACACACACACACACACACACACACACACACACACACACACAAAUCAUUAUCAGGGUUAAUUAGUUUGGGUUGACUCCUCACACAUCAUGUUGAUGAGAUCCUUCAUUAGGCAAGCUUUAAGGAGUAGGGGAAAACAAACAAGUAAAAAUAAAUUAUAUAUAUAUAUGUGUGUGUGGGGGGGCUGCACUAGAUUAUUUACACACUGGACACGUGGUAGUUGCAAUAUACAGAUUUAUGUUUUUAUAAAAAAAAUUAAAAUGCACAGAAAUAUACAUUGAACACUAAAUAAAGAGGGACGAUACACACUAAUUCUACCCAACAUAUGGAAAUAGUCAGCAGAUCCGCUCCUGAAUGGAUAAACUGAAUGCUUUUCACACACACACAUACUGUAGUGACAACUAAAUCUCACAGAUACGAUAGCCAUGGUUUGUGCAUGUAUGCAAUGGUCCAUAGGCAUAAUACUGUCAAUAUUAGCAACAAAGAACAUCCAAUCAAAACAAGCAAUCAUGACAGGGCCCUUUUUUCUGUACUGAUUUGGAAACAAUACCUGUUUGUACUGUACUGUUUAUGAAUUGAUGUACACAUUUGAUAUUGUAAUACUGUUUUCUUCACAAAACAUGGGCAUUGUAGUGAUGCAAUCAAAAUAUAAAAUCUACUGUUUUUGAUCAAGGAUGGUAUCUGAAUGCUUCAUUUGUAAAAUAAAUUAAUAAAAAAGCAUCAGA